rnacentral:rRNA from 1 species
UUAAUAAUUAUUUAUUUUUUUUUGUUUAUUUGUUAUUUUAAAUUAUUAAAAAUAAUUAUAUAAAUUAAUGUUUAAGUAUAAUAUAUAGAAUAAAUAAAUUUAAUAAUAGUUUAUUAGUAUUGUGAAAUAAAGUUGAAAUAUAAUGAAAAAUUUUUAUUCAAAAAGAAAAUUUAAUUUAUUGUAUCUUGUGUAUCAGAGUAUAUUAAAUAAAAAAUAAAUAUAAUAUUUUUCUCGAUUUUAAAAGAUUUAAUAAGUUAUAAAAUUUAAUGUAAUAAAAUUAUUUUUCAUAAUUUAUUAGAAAUGAAAUGUUAUUCGUUUUUAAAGGUAUCUAGUUUUUUAAGAAAUAAAUUUAAUUUAAUUUUUUAAAAUUUAUUUAUUUAUUUAAUUUAAUUAAAUAAUUUUUAAAAAUUAAUAUUUUAUGGGAUAAGCUAUAAAAUAAAUUUUUAUAAAUAAUAAAUAAUAUUUAAAAUAUUAUAUGUUUAGAAGUAUCAAUUUUUAAAAAUUUUGUUAUAAAUUAAUUUUUAUAUUAAAUUAUUUAUUUUGUUUUAAAUUUUUAUUAAAAUAUUUAUUUGAAUAUUAAAAAUAAAUUAAUAAUGAUAUAAUUAGUAUAUUUUUUUGUGAAAAUAUUUAUAAAUAAGAUAAGUUUAAGUAAAGAAUUCGGCAAAAAUAGUAUUCGCCUGUUUAACAAAAACAUGUCUUUUAGAAUUUAAUUUAAAGUCUAACCUGCCCACUGAUUUUUUAAAUGGCCGCAGUAUUUUAACUGUGCAAAGGUAGCAUAAUCAUUAGUCUUUUAAUUGAGGGCUAGAAUGAAUGGUUGGACGAAAUAUUAACUGUUUCAUUUAAAAUUAUAAUAAAAUUUUAUUUUUUAGUUAAAAAGCUAAAAUUAAAUUAAAAGACGAGAAGACCCUAUAAAUCUUUAUAUAUAAAUAUUAUUUUAAUUUUAUAGAUAAAUUUAAUUAUAAUAAAAUUAUAUAUUUUAUUGGGGUGAUAGUAAAAUUUAAUAAACUUUUAAAAUUUAAAUCAUUAAUACAUGAGUAAUUGAUCCAUUUUUAAUGAUUAUAAAAUUAAGUUACUUUAGGGAUAACAGCGUAAUUUUUUUGGAGAGUUCAUAUUGAUAAAAAAGAUUGCGACCUCGAUGUUGGAUUAAGAUAUAAUUUUAGGUGUAGCCGUUUAAAUUUAAAGUCUGUUCGACUUUUAAAAUCUUACAUGAUCUGAGUUCAAACCGGUGUAAGCCAGGUUGGUUUCUAUCUUUAAUAAAUUUAUAUAUUUUAGUACGAAAGGAUUAAAUAUAUAAAUAAUUAUAUUUUAUAAAUAAGAAUAUUAUUAAUUAUUUAUUAA